rnacentral:tRNA from 1 species
GGUCUCGUAGCUCAGCUAGUAGAGCAUGGGUGUACAAAGUGUAGGCGGCGUCUAUGCGCGGGUUUGAAUCCCACUGAGGCUA